rnacentral:rRNA from 1 species
GAUGAACGCUGGCGGCGUGCCUAAUACAUGCAAGUCGAGCGAACAGACGAGGAGCUUGCUCCUCUCACGUUAGCGGCGGACGGGUGAGUAACACGUGGAUAACCUACCUAUAAGACUGGUAUAACUUCGGGAAUCCGGAGCUAAUGCCGGAUAAUAUAUUGAACCGCAUGGUUCAAUAGUGAAAGACGGUUUUGCUGUCACUUAUAGAUGGAUCCGCGCGGCAUUAGCUAGUUGUUAAGGUAACGGCUUACCAAGGGAACGAUGCGUAGCCGACCUGAGAGAGUGAUAGGCCACACGGGAAGGUGGACGCGGUCAAGACUCCUGAGGGAGGGAGCAGUAGGGAAUCGUCCGCAGUGGGCGAAAACCUGACGGAGCAACGCCGAGUGAGAGAUGAAAGUCUUCGGAUCGUAAAACUCUGUUAUGAGGGAAGAACAAAUGUGUAAGUAGCUAUGGACGGCUUGACGGUACCUGAUCAGAAAGCCACGGCUAACUACGUG